AGUAGUGUGACUUAGUGGAUAGAGCACGUGACUGGGAAUCAGAAGGACCUGGGUUCUAAUCCCGGCUCUGCCA
rnacentral:tRNA from 1 species